rnacentral:tRNA from 1 species
GGGUCGAUGCUUGAGAGGUUAAAAAGAGCGGAUUGUAAAUCCGCUGGCGAAAGCCUUCGCUGGUUCGAAUCCAGUUCGACCCC